UGGACCGUUUUCCGGAUUAUUGGGCGUAAAGAGCUCGUAGGCGGUUUGUCGCGUCUGCCGUGAAAGUCCGGGGCUCAACUCCGGAUCUGCGGUGGGUACGGGCAGACUAGAGUGAUGUAGGGGAGACUGGAAUUCCUGGUGUAGCGGUGAAAUGCGCAGAUAUCAGGAGGAACACCGAUGGCGAAGGCAGGUCUCUGGGCAUUAACUGACGCUGAGGAGCGAAAGCAUGGGGAGCGAACAGGAUUAGAUACCCUGGUAGUCCAUGCCGUAAACGUUGGGCACUAGGUGUGGGGGACAUUCCACGUUUUCCGCGCCGUAGCUAACGCAUUAAGUGCCCCGCUUGGGGAGUACGGCCGCAAGGCUAAAACUCAAAGGAAUUGACGGGGGCCCGCACAAGCGGCGGAGCAUGCGGAUUAAUUCGAUGCAACGCGAAGAACCUUACCAAGGCUUGACAUGAACCGGUAAGACCUGGAAACAGGUCCCCCACUUGUGGCCGGUUUACAGGUGGUGCAUGGUUGUCGUCAGCUCGUGUCGUGAGAUGUUGGGUUAAGUCCCGCAACGAGCGCAACCCUCGUUCCAUGUUGCCAGCGCGUUAUGGCGGGGACUCAUGGGAGACUGCCGGGGUCAACUCGGAGGAAGGUGGGGACGACGUCAAAUCAUCAUGCCCCUUAUGUCUUGGGCUUCACGCAUGCUACAAUGGCCGGUACAAAGGGUUGCGAUACUGUGAGGUGGAGCUAAUCCCAAAAAGCCGGUCUCAGUUCGGAUUGGGGUCUGCAACUCGACCCCAUGAAGUCGGAGUCGCUAGUAAUCGCAGAUCAGCAACGCUGCGGUGAAUACGUUCCCGGGCCUUGUACACACCGCCCGUCAAGUCACGAAAGUUGGUAACACCCGAAGCCGGUGGCCUGACCCCUUGUGGGAGGGAGCUGUCGAAGUGGGACUGGCGAUUGGACUAAGUCGUAACAAGGUAACCAAGACUGGAGAUCUU
rnacentral:rRNA from 1 species